CACGUUUAAAGAAAAAAAUUUUAAAUAACGCCUGCCCACUGAUUUAAAGGGCCGCAGUAUUCUGACUGUGCAAAGGUAGCAUAAUCAUUUGUCUUUUAAUUGAAGGCUUGUAUGAAUGGCGAGACGGGGUAAUAACUUUCCCAAAUUUAUAAUCUUAAUUUAAUUUAUAAGUUAAAAAGCUUAUAUUUAACCGCAGGACGAGAAGACCCCGUAGAACUUUAUAAGAUUUAUACAGUUUUAGAUAGAAUAUGAUUAAAAUGUAAUUUAAACUUAUUAGGUUGGGGUGACUUGAAAUAAAUUAACAUUUCAUACAAAAACUUUAAUAAAUGGUUAAAUGACCCUUUUAAGAUUAUAAAAUUAAGUUACCUUGGGGAUAACAGCGUAAUCUAGUUUGAGAGUUCUCAUCAAAAACUAGGAUUGCGACCUCGAUGUUGGAUUAAGAGCCAUUUUAGGUGUAGCAGCUUAAAAUUGGGGUCUGUUCGACCUUUAAAUUCUUACAUGAUCU
rnacentral:rRNA from 1 species